UCCCUUCAGGUUCCUUCCCCUCAGACCUCAAGAAUGUUCGGAGUGGCUGAAAAGGAGGGAGAGCAAAAUUGAAAUGGACUUGGACUCUUCACUGACACACAAGUUCACUUCAAACAUGU
rnacentral:snoRNA from 1 species